rnacentral:rRNA from 1 species
ACAGCCGUCCCACCCUGGAUGUACCCAGUCGAGUCUGAUCUCGGAAGCUAAGCAGAGCUCAACCUGGUUAGUACUUGGAUGGCAGAACCUGAAUUGUUUACAAGUUCCUGGGGAUGGCGGGU